rnacentral:rRNA from 1 species
CCUACGGGAGGCUGCAGUGGGGAAUAUUGGACAAUGGGGGCAACCCUGAUCCAGCCAUGCCGCGUGUGUGAAGAAGGCCCUCGGGUUGUAAAGCACUUUCAGUGAGGAAGAACGCCUGGUGGUUAAUACCCAUCAGGAAAGACAUCACUCACAGAAGAAGCACCGGCUAACUCCGUGCCAGCAGCCGCGGUAAUACGGAGGGUGCGAGCGUUAAUCGGAAUUACUGGGCGUAAAGCGCGCGUAGGUGGCUUGAUAAGCCGGUUGUGAAAGCCCCGGACUCAACCUGGGAACGGCAUCCGGAACUGUCAAGCUAGAGUGCAGGAGAGGAAGGUAGAAUUCCCGGUGUAGCGGUGAAAUGCGUAGAGAUCGGGAGGAAUACCAGUGGCGAAGGCGGCCUUCUGGACUGACACUGACACUGAGGUGCGAAAGCGUGGGUAGCAAACAGGAUUAGAUACCCGGGUAGUC